AAUAGUUUUAUGCCACAUCAGUAUUCUUAUCCUGAAUUUUAGUAUUUUAAUUUGGAUUUGAUUUUUUUCAGGAUAAAAUCUUGAAAUUCAGGAUAAGAGUACUGAUGUGGCAUAAAACUAUU
rnacentral:pre_miRNA from 1 species